rnacentral:tRNA from 1 species
UGCCUUGAUGGUGAAAUGGUAGACACGUGAGGACUCAAAAUCUUGUGCUAAAGAGCAUAGAGGUUUGAGUCCUCUUCAAGGCAU